AUUGAACGCUGGCGGCAGGCCUAACACAUGCAAGUCGAGCGGAUGAAGGGAGCUUUCUCCUGGAUUCAGCUGCGGACGGGUGAGUAAUGCCUAGGAAUCUGCCUGGUAGUGGGGGAUAACGUCCGGAAACGGGCGCUAAUACCGCAUACGUCCUGAUGGUGAAAGUGGUGGAUCUUUGGACCUCACGCUAUCUGAUGAGCCUAGGUCGGAUUAGCUAGUUGGUGGGGUAAAGGCCUACCAAGGCGACGAUCCGUAACUGGUCUGAGAGGAUGAUCAGUCACACUGGAACUGAGACACGGUCCAGACUCCUACGGGAGGCAGCAGUGGGGAAUCUUGGGCAAUGGGCGAAAGCCUGAUCCAGCCAUGCCGCGUGUGUGAAGAAGGUCUUCGGAUUGUAAAGCUCUUUAAGUUGGGAGGAAGGGCAGUAAGUUAAUACCUUGCUGUUUUGACGUUACCAACAGAAUAAGCACCGGCUAACUUCGUG
rnacentral:rRNA from 1 species